rnacentral:misc_RNA from 1 species
AUAUCCUCAAUGUAAUCCAGCACCUGCAUGCAUGUCCUUUAUUAGGUUAAGAACAAAGCACCAAUAGAAACUCAAGACUCGUCAAAAAUCAGUAUCCCAGUUUGAUACCUUAAAAUAUGGUUCCACCAUAACUGUGUGGAAAAUCAUCAAGCCAUAUGGCAAAAUCUUAAAUCUAACAUUUAAAACCUAUAUCCAAAAUCAUAAAGCUAGCAUUUAAACUAAAAUCCGCAUGGAAUUUAAAACAUGCCUGAAACUGUUUUGAUUUAUUCCACCAAUUGUCAAUCUCAAAAGGAAUUAGGCACUCACAAAUAGAAUCCAAAUGAAAAAUAAGAAUUUAGAAAGGUAAACUUACCCACAAGCGCUGCAAACUUUGA